GGGGGCUAAUACCGAAUACGACACUUCACCGCAUGGUGUGGGUGUGGAAAGUUUUUCGGUCUGGGAUGGUCUCGCGGCCUAUCAGCUUGUUGGUGGGGUAAUGGCCUACCAAGGCGACGACGGGUAGCCGGCCUGAGAGGGCGACCGGCCACACUGGGACUGAGACACGGCCCAGACUCCUACGGGAGGCAGCAGUGGGGAAUAUUGCACAAUGGGCGGAAGCCUGAUGCAGCGACGCCGCGUGAGGGAUGACGGCCUUCGGGUUGUAAACCUCUUUCAGCAGGGACGAAGCGCAAGUGACGGUACCUGCAGAAGAAGCGCCGGCCAACUACGUGCCAGCAGCCGCGGUAAGACGUAGGGCGCGAGCGUUGUCCGGAUUUAUUGGGCGUAAAGAGCUCGUAGGCGGCUUGUCGCGUCGACUGUGAAAACCCGCGGCUCAACUGCGGGCCUGCAGCCGAUACGGGCAGGCUAGAGUUCGGUAGGGGAGACUGGAAUUCCUGGUGUAGCGGUGAAAUGCGCAGAUAUCAGGAGGAACACCGGUGGC
rnacentral:rRNA from 1 species